GCCCAUGUAGCUCAGAUUGGAUAGAGCGACCGCCUCCUAAGCGGUAGGCCAGAGGUUCGAGUCCUCCCAUGGGUGCCA
rnacentral:tRNA from 1 species